rnacentral:rRNA from 1 species
AUGGGAUACUAUCUCAAUGAUGGCAUCUAUCCCGAAUGGGCAACUCUUGUGAAGUCCAUCAAGGAGAAAACUGGGGUGCCCUUAAUAAGAAAAGAGGCUCAUUUCACCAAGGCACAAGAGGCAGCCCGCAAGGAUAGUGUGAGAGAUUUUGGUGUUUUGCAAGCAAGGUUUGCCAUAGUUCGGGGUCCAGCUCGGUUUUGGGACAAAAAAACCUUGGUGAACAUCAGGAAAUGUUGUGUGAUUCUACACAACAUGAUCCUAGAGGAUGAGAGAGGGUUAAACCUCCCUUGUUUCUAUGACAAUGUUGGUACCCGUGUGCAACCGAAGAAGCCCUUCUCGCAUACACGCUUUUCUUCAAGCACAUCGUGA